ensembl:lincRNA
GGCCCCAGCCCGUGUCCCUGACGCCUGCCAGGGGUUGUGGCUGGAGAGGGGCAGCAGCCCUUCAGGUCUAGUUCAGUACUGUGUUUGCAGGAACCGGGGGCCCAGACCGGCCCCCCAUCCCCUGCUCAGCUGGCCAUUAUUGCCCUCCCGGCACCAAAAAGCCAACCCAGUUCCAGUGUCCUCCCGGCAUCUGGAGUAACCAGACUGGAUUGACCAUGAGCGAGGAGUGUAUGCCCUGCCCCAGGGGCUGGUUCUGUGUCAGUGGAGCUCAGGUGCCCUCAGGGACAUGCAGGGCCGGGCAUUACUGCCCAUGAGGGACGAAGUGGGGGACACAGUUCCCCUGCCCAGCAGGCACCUACAGCUCCCAGGCAGGCAACGGCCAGCUCGAGGACUGUCUGCCCUACCCCCCAGGGGCCUUCUGCCCCAGUGGGGUCCCUGAGCCGGAGCUCUGCCAACGGUAAGGAGGCCGCAUGUGUGGUUGUUAUUGAGGCCAAAUCGCCACAUUCAUUGUGUGCCUGCUGGAGCCCAGCACUGGACACUGGUACCAAGGGAGAGGAGGGCCCAGCCUGCCCUCAGGACCUGGCCACCUUGUUGAAACAGGACACACAGGAACAGGAUGAGCUGGACCCAGGGCUAUAGGUGCCCCAGGUCAGGGGCACCCCUACAGCCAGGAAGUUGAACAAGAGAGAAUCACUCUGGGUUACAGUCAGUGGAGAAGCCAUCAGCUUGUGGUGACUCGAUUCAGCCUUAAAAGAUGGGCAGAGUGCCGGGCAUGAUGGCUUGUGUCUGUACUGACUGGAGUAACUGGCUUGGAUUGACCAUGAGCAAGGAGUGUGUGCUGAGGCAGGAAGAUUACUUGGGGCCAGGAGUUUGAGACCAGCCUGGGCAACAUGGUGAAACCCCGUCUCUAAAAAAAUAUAAGAAUUAGCCAGGCAUGGCAGCCUGUAGUCCCAGCUACUCAGGAAGCUGAGACGGGAAGAUUGCUUGAGCCCAAAAGUUCCAGGAUGCAGUGAGCUAUGAUCAUGCCGUGGUACCCCAGCCUGGGCUACAGAGCAAGACCUCAUCUCUAAAAUUAUAAAAAACUUAUUUAAAAGAUGAGCAGAGUCCAAGGAGGGAUGUGAAGGUAUCCCUGCUGAAGCAGCCGUGCACCAGCCCACCAUCCUGAAAAAAGAAGCUGUUUCAGAGCUGCCCACUCUAAAGGCCAAACCCCUCCUAAAGCUAAUUGCUGCAGAGAUCUCAGCAGAGAUCAUUUGGCCCAAGCUGUGGGAUUAUCUGUGGAUUUUACUGUUUUAUUAAAAUGUGCCUUUUAUUCCUCUGGUCAAAAAGAAAACUUAGGGUUUGUCUUACUAAAAACAAGCAAUACACAUUCUUCAUGUAAAAAGUGGAAAUGACAUUGAUCAAAACAAAUUUCAGAUAAAUGCAGAUUUCAAUUUUAAAAAGCCAAAAUCACAAAAUCACAAAGCAUAAAUAGAUAUUUAUAAAACUUGAGAGAAUGUGGAAAAUCUAAGCCUGGGCAACAAAAGUGAAACUCCGUCUCCAAAAAAAAAAAAAAAAAAAUGAGCCGACCUCCCUGGCAGCUUACAAGCAAGGGUUUAUAGAGGCAGGGGUAAAUGUCAGGAGAGAAAUUUACCCUUAUACA